rnacentral:rRNA from 1 species
UCCAGACUCCUACGGGAGGCAGCAGUGAGGAAUAUUGGGCAAUGGAGGCAACUCUGACCCAGCCAUGCCGCGUGAGUGAAGAAGGUUUUCGGAUUGUAAAGCUCUUUCGGAUGUGACGAUGAUGACGGUAGCAUCUAAAGAAGCCCCGGCUAACUCCGUGCCAGCAGCCGCGGUAAUACGGAGGAUGCGAGCGUUAUCCGGAUUUAUUGGGUUUAAAGGGUGCGUAGGUGGAAUGCCAAGUCAGCGGUAAAAGCGCGGGGCUCAACCUCGCUCCGCCGUUGAAACUGGCGUUCUUGAGUGGGCGAGAAGUAUGCGGAAUGCGUGGUGUAGCGGUGAAAUGCAUAGAUAUCACGCAGAACUCCGAUUGCGAAGGCAGCAUACCGGCGCCCAACUGACGCUGAAGCACGAAAGCGUGGGUAUCGAACAGGAUUAGAUACCCUGGUAGA